AUACAUGCAAGUCGAGCGGACUUGAUGGAGUGCUUGCACUCCUGAUGGUUAGCGGCGGACGGGUGAGUAACACGUAGGCAACCUGCCCUCAAGACUGGGAUAACUACCGGAAACGGUAGCUAAUACCGGAUAAUUUAUUUCACAGCAUUGUGGAAUAAUGAAAGACGGAGCAAUCUGUCACUUGGGGAUGGGCCUGCGGCGCAUUAGCUAGUUGGUGGGGUAAUGGCUCACCAAGGCGACGAUGCGUAGCCGACCUGAGAGGGUGAACGGCCACACUGGGACUGAGACACGGCCCAGACUCCUACGGGAGGCAGCAGUAGGGAAUCUUCCGCAAUGGGCGAAAGCCUGACGGAGCAACGCCGCGUGAGUGAUGAAGGUUUUCGGAUCGUAAAGCUCUGUUGCCAAGGAAGAACGUCUUCUAGAGUAACUGCUAGGAGAGUGACGGUACUUGAGAAGAAAGCCCCGGCUAACUACGUGCCAGCAGCCGCGGUAAUACGUAGGGGGCAAGCGUUGUCCGGAAUUAUUGGGCGUAAAGCGCGCGCAGGCGGUUCUUUAAGUCUGGUGUUUAAACCCGAGGCUCAACUUCGGGUCGCACUGGAAACUGGGGAACUUGAGUGCAGAAGAGGAGAGUGGAAUUCCACGUGUAGCGGUGAAAUGCGUAGAUAUGUGGAGGAACACCAGUGGCGAAGGCGACUCUCUGGGCUGUAACUGA
rnacentral:rRNA from 1 species